rnacentral:rRNA from 1 species
AAGCCGGGGGGACCUGAAGUCGGUAACCGUAAGGAACCGCCUAGGGUAAAAUCGGUAAUUGGGGCU